GACGAACGCUGGCGGCGUGCUUAACACAUGCAAGUCGAACGGAAAGGCCCUGCUUUUUUGGGGUUCCCGAUUGGCGAACGGGUGAGUAACACGUAAGUAACCUACCCUUCAUUUUCGUAUAACUUCAGGUAACUGGGGUUAAUAUCGUAUAGCAUACGCUGCUGCAUUGAGAGGAUUGGAAAUUUUCGGCUGUUGGGGAUGGACUCGCGGCUUAUCACCUUGUUUGUGGGGGAGUGGCUUACCAAGGCUUUGACGGGUAGGCGGCCUGGGAGGGUGGCCGGCCACAUUGGGACUGAGAUAAGGACCAGACUGCUACGGGAGACAGCAGUGGGGAAUAUUGCCCAAUGGGCGGGAGCCUGAUGAAGCAACGCCGCGUGCGGGAUGACGGCCUUCGGGUUGAAAACCGCUUUCGCCUGUGACGAAGCGUGAGUGACGGUAAUGGGUAAAGAAGCACCGGCUAACUACGUG
rnacentral:rRNA from 1 species